rnacentral:rRNA from 2 species
UAACACGUGGGCAAUCUGCCCUGCACUCUGGGACAAGCCCUGGAAACGGGGUCUAAUACCGGAUACUGAUCAUCUUGGGCAUCCUUGGUGAUCGAAAGCUCCGGCGGUGCAGGAUGAGCCCGCGGCCUAUCAGCUUGUUGGUGAGGUAAUGGCUCACCAAGGCGACGACGGGUAGCCGGCCUGAGAGGGCGACCGGCCACACUGGGACUGAGACACGGCCCAGACUCCUACGGGAGGCAGCAGUGGGGAAUAUUGCACAAUGGGCGAAAGCCUGAUGCAGCGACGCCGCGUGAGGGAUGACGGCCUUCGGGUUGUAAACCUCUUUCAGCAGGGAAGAAGCGAAAGUGACGGUACCUGCAGAAGAAGCGCCGGCUAACUACGUGCCAGCAGCCGCGGUAAUACGUAGGGCGCGAGCGUUGUCCGGAAUUAUUGGGCGUAAAGAGCUCGUAGGCGGCUUGUCGCGUCGGUUGUGAAAGCCCG